UGUAAGCGUAUACCAAAGUUGUUGCAGUUAAAACGCUCGUAGUCGGAAUUUGGCAGUUCCGGAUGUGUGCACGUCGUGUGCGCACUUCGCGGGGAUUGCUUUUGUGGUCUUGCGUAGGAUGAGGCACUUUUAUUAGUGAACGUCCUCACGCAACCACUUUUUACUGUGAGAAAAUCAGAGUGCUCAAAGCAGGCAUUUGCCGUGAAUGUAUUAGCAUGGAAUAAUAGAGUAGGACUUGGCUCUAUUUUGUUGGUUUGUUGGGACUGAGUAAUGAUUAAGAGGGACAGUUGGGGGCAUUUGUAUUUCGGUGCUAGAGGUGAAAUUCUUAGAUUACCGAAAGACAAACUGCUGCGAAAGCGUCUGCCAAGGAUGUUUUCAUUGA
rnacentral:rRNA from 1 species